UCGUGGCCCUUACGGGUUGGGCUACACACGUGCUACAAUGGCAUCAACAAUGGGUUAAUCCCUAAAAGAUGUCUCAGUUCGGAUUGGGGUCUGCAACUCGACCCCAUGAAGUCGGAAUCGCUAGUAAUCGCGUAACAGCAUGACGCGGUGAAUACGUUCCCGGGCCUUGUACACACCGCCCGU
rnacentral:rRNA from 1 species